AACGAUUUUUGUUUUUUUCUUUUUAUCAUUUUCACCCGAUUCUUUCUUUUUUCAUAUAUUAUCAUCAUCAUAAACUCAUGAGCAUCAUCUUAAUUAUCAUAAAAUUCACGUGCUAUAAUGGGUACGUUACACGUGGAAUCAGAAUCGGUCGAUUCAUGAACCACAAAGUCGGAAUUAUCGACGUUCGCGGGAAAAGAAGAUCCAUUGGCAUGGUUCAAUCAUUUUGAAAAGGUCUUUAAA
rnacentral:lncRNA from 1 species